UUUUUUGUUAAAGAACUUUAUCCAUGAAGUUAUAUCAAAACUUUGUCCAUAAUAUUUUGGUAAAUCAAAAUUAUUUGUAGAAGAUUGUUGCUCAGUUGGCUUUUCUAUUUUCGGAGGCAUUUUUGAAAAUCAAUUAUUACUAGGUAAAUUCUGUCGGCUAACUGUUACAAACUAUGUAAAUUUAAAAUGAUUUUUUUAAAGUUAAAAGUGCAGUCGUUAAGAAUAUAAUUAAAAAAAAAAUAAAUUUAAUCUCAAGAAGUUUAUUUUGUGAACUCUUGAGCAAAAGAAUACAUUAAAUUUAAAGUAAAUAUAGAAUUUAGCAAUUAAUCCUAUAUUACAAUUUACAUAUUUAUAAAAAUUAUAUCUAACUUAACCUAACCUACUCUAAAAAUUUUGUUUACACAAAAUAACAAAAACAAUUUAUUCUCGAAACAUCUUUUAAUUGGGGCAUGGAUGAUGAUAAAAACAGAAUAUAUAAAAUCAAUGAUUAACAAUACGCAACAACUCCUCCCCAUUAAGUCAAACACCCAUUAAAUGUCAAAAAGCUUUGUAGGCUUCCUUAUUCUUGAGGACCUCCUCAAGACAGGCUGCGGAGUCACUGUAGGAGAUUCUAUUACUGGAGCAGCUUGAGUUCCUUCAACUUCAGUCUCAGGUGGCACAUGUGGAGCCAACGAUGUAGAAGGAAUGGAUUCAUUUUCACCACAGUUCCUCACCUGAUCCAAAUGUCUAUUAAUAACUCUUCCAUCAUCAGUUUCUACUUCAACUGAGACAGGGCCUGUUUUUUUCAUAGACCACUCCAGGUAACCAUUUAGGACCAUGGUAAUUCCUAGCUACAAUUUCCUGUCCUUCCUCCACUGCUCUAUGGGGUCUCUAUGUUCUCAUGAAUCUUUCUUCUUGGUUACUUCUCUCCUCAGAGACAUUUUCUGGGUGAAAUUUAUUCAGAAGGCAUUUCAAAUUCUUAAUUCAUCAGAAGUUGAGCUGGAGAUUUUUGAGUUGUGUUGUUUAGUUAUUCUCAUUGUCAAGAGAGAUCUAGCCAACCUGGUUGACCAUUCACCUUUGUCACUUUUUUUCUUUUUAAAGUUUGUAUGGCUCUCUCUACCUGGCCACUAGAGGCAGCAUGAUAUGGACAAAUUUCAUCUUUUGUUUUGAGGCUAUUCAAAGAUGGAACACUAAAACUAGUAUUUUUAUGUAAAUAUGUAGGGUUAUUCAUUUUUGUUAAAGCUGGAGUUGAAGCUUGCGAUAUUGAGCCUUGAAACUUUUGAUGAUGCCACUAUCCAGUGGUUGCAGAUUGGCAGUCAUAUUUGGUGGAAGGAAGUGUAUCUUUAUGUUGCUGAGACUAUCAUUAGGGACGCAGUGAGAUGUAGCGUUAUGUAGGAUACGACAUCCUUCAGAGACAAGCUGCUUGUUGAACUGCAGUAGCCAUUCUUGAAAGAUGCUAGAGGUCAUCCAUGCUUUGCUGUUAGAUGUGUAAGUGCAGUAGAAGUGUAGACUAAAGUUUCUGAAGCAUCGAGGCUUUGCCGAUUUUCCAAUAAUCAGCAAUCGCCGCUUGUCUGUUCCGGUAGAGUUGCAGCACAGUAGAAAAGGGAUUCGUUGCUUCAUACUUUUGACACCACGGCAGUUUUCAUCUUUGUGAGCAAGUGUUCGGUCAGGAAUGAGCUGAAAAAUAAUCCUGUUUCAUCUGCAUUGUAUAUGUUGGCAGGGUCAUAUCCAGAGUUCGCCAGAAUACUGUUCAAAUUUGUAAGAUGUUCAUCAAUGAUAGCUGGAGAAAUCGAUGCGCCUUCCCCACAGAGCCGUCGUUGCGAAAUAUGGAAUCUCCCUUUAAAUCGCUGCAGCCACCCACUGCUGUACGUGAAAUUUUCUGGUACGCCCAACUGCUCGCCAAGUUUUUUUGCCUUUUCUCUUAGGAGGUCAUCAGUAAUAAUAAUAUUAUUGGCACGCUUUUGGGUAAACCAGUUGAAGAGAGCGUCUUCCAAGUCACUAAAUUUUUCGACUCUUUGUCUCUUUGAAGAACCAACAGUAUAAUUUUCCCACUUCUCAGCCUGAGUGAGAAUAUCACGGACAGUUGUUCGUGGAAGUGAGAAACGCUUUCCAAUCUCAUUCUUCGACUUCGUAGCGUUAUUUCUUGCCAACUGGCAUAUCUCCUUCUUCUUUUCAAUCGUGAUCGACUCACGUUUACGCUUUUGGGAACUCAUGAUACGACAAUAAGGUUGUUGUGUUGACAUUAGCAAAGGAUGAAGCGACUGUGUAUGUCCCAGACACAAGCAGGAAAAGGGUCUGCUGGCUGUUCACACAAUCUGUUGUGUCAACAGCAGGCAAAGUCCGGCGCCGCUGGUAGAAAAAAUGCAGACAGGAAAAUGGGAGCGGGGGUGUGAGGGACAUUGUGAGUGGCGCUAUAACGAGUGGUUUUUGCUACUUGGGAUACGAAAAAUCAGUGGCGGAAGGCGAACAGCGAGGGAGUGUGUUAUAUCGAGAAAAAUACAUUGAUGUCGAUUGAAACAAAACGAAGGGCAUUCCUUUCUCAGAUGAUUACCCUUUAUACAUUUAAAGCAGACUCUAGCUUCCUUUAUCUUUUGAUCCCUCUCGCUAGGUGUAAGACGCGAAGCAACAAAACAUUUACUACUUAGGUGAUUAUCUCUCUGGCAGAAUAUGCAUUUUCUCUUAAAUGCGCUGCUGAAUAAAUUGGAGACAGUGGGCGGUGUCUUCCGAAAAAUCUUUAGCUGAGAACCUUUGGCCCUCAUUGAGCUAUUACCCUCAAAUUCUCCUUAGCAAAUGCCAGUCGCUCAGCACCGGUAAGUCCAUCAGAGCCUGUAGUCUACCGCCGGCAUCACUCUUAUCUCCAUUCUCCACUCCUUCUUUUAUCCCGUAGCCCACAGCAGGAUUCCUCUGCCACACCUGAAUAAUGUCCAAUGGCAGACUCAACCAAGUGGGUAGAGAAACACGCCUGCCAUCUCUGUGUUAACACCCAGUGAUUCUAGGUUCUUUAAGUGAGCUGUUAGAUCAUCGUAGAUCUCGUCAAGAGGAAUGUUUUCUUUCCUUGCAUUAGAAACAACCAGUUUUCAACAGUCUUCUUAUGUAGUGUUCUAUGAGAAGAUUCUUAUCUCCGAAUCUAUCUUUUAAUGCUUGUAUUACCUUGGGAUAAAUAUCUUCAGUGAUAGGGUAACUGCACACAAGACGUUGAGCUCUGGAUCCCUCGACUACCGCUUGUAGCAGAUAGUGAAAUUUAUCUACAUCCCCAAGAGUUUCAUCGUCACUAAUUUUACUAAAUUGCCCCAUUGCAUCGAAAUCUGGCUUUUCUAUUUCAGUCCAAAACACUGUGGACAGCCGAGUUAAAAAUAGCUCUUUUGGGGGCUCUAGCCCUUUUUAAUGUAUUAAUACUCUGUGCAUUAUUUACUGUAUAAUAUUCCCAGGAGCCUUUCUUUUUUUCCCCUUUUUCGAUUUGACCCAGCCAAUGCAGCCCACCCGGGGACGCCAAAAUAAAAUGUUAAGAAAGGGGUAAGAAAAAAUUUUGUGGAGAAAAAUAAAAAUUCGGAACGCUCCACAAAGCCCCUUUUUAACAAAUAAAAAUAAAGUUUUGAUAUUGUUUUGGGCUGCUUUGGGUGUUUAGGCAAGAAAAAAGGAAGACAACAAAUGCUACACAUUAUAAAGCUUUUGUUUAAUUUUUUGAUAGCUAUAAAAUAAAGGAUAAAAAAAGAUAUGAAAACUUAUUUUGUAUAUUCCAAAUUUUGCAUGCAACUUAAUGUUUAAAAAAUGAUGAUAUUGGCGAAAUAGAAAACUUAGUAAAAAUAAGAAAGAAAAAAUAUUUUUAAAAAUGCUAGAAUAACACAAAAAUAUAUAUCAAUUUAGGAAAUAAAAAGAAAAAGCGUGUGAAAGAGUGCUCACCAAAACAGUUCCUCUCAGUUGUUAAGUCGGCCUGCCCGAGCCCCCCUGCAGAAAACACCAGCCUUGGAAGCACAAUUCGUCGUCCUCGAUGAACUUCCUGGUAUCUUCAGAUGAAGCACAAUUCGUCGCCCUCGACGUACUCCAACCACUUUGCGAAUCUCUCAAAGAUUUGUCUCGGCUUCACCUUUCUUUGAGAUGUCAGCCACCCAGUCCCUUCUCAGACCGCUUGUAUGGUCCUUUAUGGAAGAUGGACAUAGUUCCCGAAGGUCAUCUUGGGCAAGCUCCCGUGAGGUUUUUUCUUGUCUACUUGGCACAGCCGUGUCACCAACUCUGCUGCCCCCGCGCCCGGACCUCGUGACCCCUCUGACCCUCCGAUUGGUCGGUGGGUUCUUGGACUGUCCAUCCGGCGGACAAUUACAUUCUCUCGACAGGGGGUAGGGGCCGGUGUGUGAAAAGGAGAAAAACAGUAAAAAAUAGAUUUCCCUCCGCUGAGGGGUUACACACACAAAAAAAAAUAAAAAUAUAAAAAUAGUUGUAAUAUUUACAUAUAUAUGUCGAAUUGGGAUGUAGACUCACUGUGGGAAUGCUGUCGACUCUCUGUUGAAUUGUGUGGUUGGGUGGAUAUGGUAUUGGAUUGGUGAAUGGUGUGGCGCAGUCUUGGUCAGGUGAAAAGGGUUCCACAGGAGAAGAACAAACACACCUGGAUGGGGUAGAAAAGGACCUUGCGAUUGGGAGAUUGUUUGACGGAGGUAGCUGGCCUUUCACAUGAUGGAGCGUACACUACCUUGGUUGGAGCCUAUGUAGAGCACAACUAGCUCGUAGCACGGUCACCUUACCUUCUUUCUGUUUCUUGUCCGAGAUAAUCAUCAUUGACUCUCUCGACUUCUCAUUGGUUGAGAUCCUUCCACGUGCUCUCUGGUGAUUCAGUAUCAAUUGGUCAUGCUUAAAGGUGAUUGGCUCAACUCCUCCAUUGUCGCCAUGAUUGCAAUCCUCUUAAUAUUGUCUGUAACUCCAAGGCGAGUCCGUACAGGGCAUGCUGCCCUAAUAAAGUUGUUUGUUGUUGUUGUUGAUUGCAAUCCUCAAGGAAGAAGAAGGCCUUUGAACUUAGGUUUUAUGGGUUCAGGUCAGUGACCUUUACUUCCUGGAUGAUGCAAUCCUGUACUUUGUGUCUUUCCCAUCUCGCGAGGCCUAACUUUUAUUAAACCUUUAGACGAUACAUUAUACAUAGAUUGUGGUGAGGUUACAUAAUCCUGUAUACAGAUUAUCACAUAUACAUACAAUAUGCCAUGAAUUCAAACAUUGGUGCUACCCGAGUUGGGACUUGCAUCUUGUAUAGGAAUCUUUAUUGGAGCUGCUGCCACAACCUGUGGCGUCUGCUCGCUAGAAGGGCCAUCUUCCACGACCACCAGCUUUGGGCCGCUGCGUCUGCUGCUUCCUCUUGUUGAAUUGAGAGGCGGCAGGGUAGAGAUGGAUGCUGUAAGAAUUAGGUUCUUUGGAUGAUAUUACCUGGUGGACAUCCUCAGCAGCACUCUAUGGUGACACACUUUGCCAAUUUUUUAGUUAAGCUGUUAGUCACCAUUUGAACAUCCUGUUGAAAAGGAAUGGAGAGGUUGCUUGCAGGGGGUGACAUGGUGUCAGAGUAUGCGAUGUGGUUUCCUUACAGUUUGGAGCGGCCAAAACUGUCUCAGUCGGCCUUGCAGGAGAAGUUGGAACAUGGGUUGGGGUAGCCUAGUGCCCCGGCUGUGAGGUCUCUUUCCUGAGUAUUUUUAUUCCUACCUUGUUCUAAUCUUUUGUGUCUGUUUCCACAGCUAUGCACCCAUAGUGGUGUCUGGGGCUUUUGCAGAUCUUUGAAAGUUUGAGGCACUGGCAUUUAUUACGUGGAGGGGGACAAGCCUGGUUACAUGUUGCACAAGGUGAUGCAGCAACCUGGCUGUUAUUACCUGUAGAUGAACAAACUUGUCACGUGAUGCACCACACAGUGUAACUGGUGUGCAAACAGAGCCCUGAGUGUGUAGCAGCCUGGUGAUGUCAGGAAUGUCUUUGGGUCACAUUCACUAUGAUAUUGUUGAUAUGGUGCACUGACUCAAAUCUGGAGAAUCCCCUUUUGGUAUCUAGUUUGUGUUUCUCCUUUGGACAAUAUAGGGACUUCCAGUACCACCCCAGGGACUUUCAACCUCCUUGUUCCAUUUCAUCCAGAGAGAUGCGGAAUAUCUUUCACACAUUAGUAUAUAUCAACAUUUUUGUUUUAUGCAUUUGGUCUUUUUUUUUUUUUUAGAUUUUGGGCAGGUGAAAAGGGUUCCACAGGGGAAGAACGAACACACCUGGAUGGGGUUGAAAGGACCUUGCGAUUGGGAGAUUGUUUGACAGAGGUAGCUGGCCUUUCACAUGAUGGAGCGUACACUACCUAGGUUGGAGCCUAUGUAGAGCCCACCUAGCUCGUAGCACGGUCACCUACCUUCUUUCUGUUUCUUGUCCAAGAUAAUGGUCAUCGAUUCUCUCGACUUCUCAUUUGUUGAGAUCCUUCCACCUACUCUCUGGUGAUUCGCUAUUAAUUUGUCAUGCUUAAAGGUGAUUUGCUAAGUACCUCAGCAUGAUUGCAAUCCUCCAGGAAGAAGGCUGUCGAGCUUUGAACAAAGAAUUUGAAUCACUGGACGGCGUAACCAGCAUAGAAUAAAGUAAAACUAUUGCAACUCAAUGAUUGUUGGGAAGAAAGAGAAAUUUAUUAUAAUUAAUACAAAAAUUAUAGGUAAAGAAUUAUUUCAAAAGAUAUAUAGAGUUUUGGGUCUCAAGACGCGAGCACGCGACGACAACAACUUGAGAACAAAGAGAGGGGCGCGGGGGGCCGGAAGUUGCAUCAUGGGCGUGACAUCACUGCCGCAUGGGUGGUGGCUUGCUCGUGGGGGGAGGGGGGGGGUCUUCUUCCACGGCUUUCUUACAUUUUGAAGGCCCCCAUCUCAAUAUCUCCAAAUAAAAUGAGAAUUAAAACACACAUAAAAAAAGGCAGUGGAUCUGCAACAAAGGCCUUUGAACUUUGGAUGAUGCAAUUCUGUACUUUGUGUCUUUCCCAUCUCGCGAGGCCUAACUUUUAUUAAACCUUUAGACGAUACAUUAUACAUAGAUUGUGGUGGGGUUUACAUAAUCCUGUAUACAGAUUAUCACAUAUACAUACAAUAUGCCAUGAAUUCAAACAUGUGGUGUUACCCGAGUUGGGACUUGCAUCUUGUAUAGGAAUCUUUAUUGGACCUGCUGCCACAACCUGUGGCAUCUGCUCGCUAGAAGGGCCAUCUUCCACGACCACCAGCUUUGGGCCUCUGUGUCUGCUGCUUCCUCUUGUUGAAUUGAGGGGCGGCAGGGUAGAGAAUGGAUGCUGUAAGAAUUAGGUUCUUUGGAGGAUAUUACCUGGUGGACAUCCUCAGCAGCACUCUGUGGUGGAAUCUUUGCCACUUUUUUAGUUAAGCUGUUAGUCACCAUUUAGCUUCCUGUUGAAAAGGAAUGGAGAGGUUGCUUGCAGGGGGGUAUAAUCUGGGGAGGAUGGGUCAUCGGCUUUAUUUCUAUAUGAGGUAGAUGCUUUUGAUAAUUGUCUGGCUCUUUUAGGUAUUUUGAAACAACGUAUCUGUCAAGAACUAUGAUGAGGUUUCCUUACAGUUUGGAGUGGCCAAAACUGUCUCAGUCGGCCUUGCAGGAGAAGUUGGGACAUGGGUUGGGGUAGCUUAGUGCCCCGGCUGUGAGGUCUCUUUCCUGAGUAUUUUUAUUCCUACCUUGUUCUAAUCUUUUGUGUCUGUUUCCACAGCUAUGCACCCAUAGUGGUGUCUGGGGCUUUUGCAGAUCUUUGAAAGUUUGAGGCACUGGCAUUUAUUACGUGGAGGGGGACAAGCCUGGUUACGUGUUGCACAAGGUGAUGCAGCAACCUGGCUGUUAUUACCUGUAGAUGAACAAACUUGUCACGUGAUGCACCACACAGUGUAACUGGUGUGCAAACAGAGCCCUGAGUGUGUAGCAGCCUGGUGAUGUCAGGAAUGUCUUUGGGUCACAUUCACUAUGAUAUUGUUGACAUUGUGCACUGACUCAAAUCUCGGGAAUCCCCUUUUGGUAUCUAGUUCGUGUUUCCUUUGGACAAUAUAGGGACUUCCAGUACCACCCUAGGGACUUUCAACCUCCUUGUUCCAUUUCAUCCAGAGAGAUGCGGAAUAUCUUUCACACAUUGGUAUAUAUCAACAUUUUUGUUUUAUGCAUUUGGUCUUUUUUUUUUUUUUUUUAGAUUUUGGGCAGGUGAAAAGGGUUCCACAGGGGAAAAACGAACACACCUGAAUGGGGUUGUAAAGGACCUUGCGAUUGGGAGAUUGUUUGACAGAGGUAGUUGGCCUUUCACAUGAUGGAGCGUACACUACCUAGGUUGGAGCCUAUGUAGAGCCCACCUAGCUCGUAGCACGGUCACCUACCUUCUUUCUGUUUCUUGUCCAAGAUAAUGGUCAUCGAUUCUCUCGACUUCUCAUUUGUUGAGAUCCUUCCACGUGCUCUCUGGUGAUUCGCUAUUAAUUUGUCAUGUUUAAAGGUGAUUUGCUAAGUACCUCCAUUGUCACCAUGAUUGCAAUCCUCCAGGAAGAAGGCUGUCGAGCUUUGAACAAAGAAUUUGAAUCACUGGACGGCGUAACCAGCCUAGAAUAAAGUAAAACCAUUGCAACUCAAUGAUUGUUGGGAAGAAGAGAAAUUUAUUAUAAUUAAUACAAAAAUUAUAGGUAAAGAAUUAUUUCAAAAGAUAUAUAGAGUUUUGAGUCUCAAGACGCGAGCACGCGACGACAACAACUUGAGAACAAAGAUAGGGGCGCGGGGGGCCGGAAGUUGCAUCAUGGGCGUGACAUCACUGCCGCAUGGGUGAUGGCUGGCUCGUGGGGGGAGGGGGGUUUCUUCUUCCACGGCUUUCUUACAUUUUGAAGGCCCCCAUCUCAAUAUCUCCAAAUAAAAUGAGAUUCUACAGGUAAACUCCGUGUAAUUAGUAUAAUGUAAAACGAAUCUAAAGUUUUUUCGGAGGAGCCUCUUUAAUUAUACUUUUGCAAGCUUUCGAACCUUGCGGUUCUUCCACAGGCGUGGCUAGUAUGACUACAUACUACAAUGAGAAUUAAAACACACACAAAAAAAGGCAGUGGAUCUGCAACAAAGGCCUUUGAACUUUGGAUGAUGCAAUUCUGUACUUUGUGUCUUUCCCAUCUCGCGAGGCCUAACUUUUAUUAAACCUUUAGACGAUACAUUAUACAUAGAUUGUGGUGAGGUUACAUAUAAUCCUGUAUACAGAUUAUCACAUAUACAUACAAUAUGCCAUGAAUUCAAACAUUGGUGCUACCCGAGUUGGGAUUUGCAUCUUGUAUAGGAAUCUUUAUUGGAGCUGCUGCCACAACCUGUGGCGUCUGCUCGCUAGAAGGGCCAUCUUCCACGACCACCAGCUUUGGGCCGCUGCGUCUGCUGCUUCCUCUUGUUGAAUUGAGGGGCGGCAGGGUAGGGAUGGAUGCUGUAAGAAUUAGGUUCUUUGGAGGAUAUUACCUGGUGGACAUCCUCAGCAGCACUCUAUGGUGACACACUUUGCCAAUUUUUUAGUUAAGCUGUUAGUCACCAUUUGAGCUUCUUGUUGAAAAGGAAUGGAGAGGUUGCUUGCAGGGGGUGACAUGGUGUCAGAGUAUGCGAUGUGGUUUCCUUACAGUUUGGAGCGGCCAAAACUGUCUCAGUUGGAUUUGCAGGAGAAGUUAGGACAUGGGUUGGGGUAGCCAAGUGCCCUGGCUGUGGAGCGUCUUUCCUUGGUAUUUAUAUUUCUGCCCCUAUUGUUUGUUCUAAUCUUUUGUGUCUGUUUCCACAGCUAUGCACCCAUAGUGGUGUCUGGGGCUUUUGCAGAUCUUUGAAAGUUUGAGGCACUGGCAUUUAUUACGUGGAGGGGACAAGCCUGGUUACAUGUUGCACAAGGUGAUGCAGCAACCUGGCUGUUAUUACCUGUAGAUGAACAAACUUGUCACGUGAUGCACCACACAGUGUAACUGGUGUGCAAACAGAGCCCUGAGUGUGUAGCAGCCUGGUGAUGUCAGGAAUGUCUUUGGGUCACAUUCACUAUGAUAUUGUUGACAUUGUGCACUGACUCAAAUCUCGGGAAUCCCCUUUUGGUAACUAGUUCGUGUUUCCUUUGGACAAUAUAGGGACUUCCAGUACCACCCUAGGGAAUUUCAACCUCCUUGUUCCAUUUCAUCCAGAGAGAUGCGGAAUAUCUUUCACACAUUGGUAUAUAUCAUCAUUUUUGCUUUAUGCAUUUUGUCUUUUUUUUUUAGAUUUUGGGCAGGUGAAAAGGGUUCCACAGGGGAAGAACGAACACACCUGGAUGGGGUUGAAAAGGACCUUGCGAUUGGGAGAUUGUUUGACAGAGGUAGCUGGCCUUUCACAUGAUGGAGCGUACACUACCUAGGUUGGAGCCUAUGUAGAGCACACCUAGCUCAUAUCACGGUCACCUACCUUCUUUCUGCUUCUUGUCCGAGAUAAUUGUCAUCGAUUCUCUCAACUUCUCAUUUGUUGAGAUCCUUCCACGUGCUCUCUGAUGAUUCGCUAUUAAUUUGUCAUGCUUAACCCUUAAGUACUCGCGGCAUUUUUUGUUACAUAAGUACUCGCGCGGGGUGUAUCACACCCCAAAAUAUAAACCUAAAUCUAAUAUAUAUAAUGUAAGCCAAAUACAACGUAUUUAUAUUUAUAUUAUAGAGAAAAGAAUGGAUAUUAAUUAAAAUGUAAAUAAAAUAAUAAAAUAUUUAAUUAUUCCAGUGCUUGUACAUGUUUUCUAAAUCAUAUAAGCAUUUACAAUUUUUAUGCAUAUUCAUUAUUCACAAAAAUAAAUCUUAUAUUUUUUUCAUUAAUUUUCAAAGCAUUCUGCACACAUAAUGAAGGAAUGAUUAUUGCAGAUAUUUCUUUUGCAAUUUUUGCAGGUAGUCUUUGUUUUCCUAUCUUUAGAUCGGUCACAAAGAUGGCAUCGCUUUUGCUUUUUUGAAAGUGGUUCUGAUGGUCCUGGUACCUAAAAAAAACCAUCAUAAAAUUUAUCAUGUUUAUUUAUAUUGGUAAAUAACAUUUUUACUUACUGUUUGUUCAUUUGCCACUCCAAUUAUCCUUCGAAGAGCAAGUUUUAUAUCUUUAGGUAGUGACACAAUGCAAAGGCGUUCUUUGAUAUGUUCAUCUAUCAAACUCAGUCCGAUCUUUUCCAAAAAGUGGCGUCUUUUAAUGGGUUCUUCUUGCAGGUGAUUUGCGUUGUAAAGUACUUGUGCAUUUAUUUCUGCAACAUUGACGAGAUCAAAGAAAAUACACAGAGGCCAUCUUCUUGUGCGUCGUCCUACACUGUAGGUCCCCGACAUUUGGUCAACAACAUCAACGCCUAUCUUGGUUUGGUUAUAAAAAGUGACUAUUUCCGGCUUCAUUUUAUCUCCUGUGUCCUCGUCAAUUGUCAUUGUUGAGUGCAUUGUUGACAAUAGGAUAACUGAUUUUGAUUUCUUGGGGACAUAUGAUACAAGAGUUUUAUUUUCAUUGAAGCCAAAAAUUGAAGAAAAGAUAGGUCUAUUCCUGUUGGGUAAAAACUCUACAGGAAUUUCCUUUUUAUUUUUUUUUUCAAAGUUCCAACGAGGGUCAAGUUAUGUUCAGUCAACAAACUUUGAGCUAGUGGGAAACUUGUAUACCAGUUAUCAGUGGUAAUAUUUCGUUUUGUUCCUGAUACUGGUUCCACCAAUCUUUUGACAACAUCAUCAGAAGCAUUGGAUUUAUAAAAAGGUCCACGAUUGUUACCAACAUACGGCUCCAUAUUCACAGUAUAGAACGUGUGUGCAUCAGACAUCAUGUAUAUUUUCAAGCCAUAUUUUGCAGGUUUGUUUGGUAUGUAUUGACGAAAAUUACAUUUCCCUCUAAAAGGAAUAAGCUUUUCAUCGAUUGUUAAAUAUUCGCCAGGGGAAUACAUUUGCUUAC